rnacentral:rRNA from 1 species
GACGAACGCUGGCGGCGUGCUUAACACAUGCAAGUCGAGCGGAAAGGCCCUUCGGGGUACUCGAGCGGCGAAUGGGUGAGUAACACGUGAGUAACCUGCCCCAGACUUUGGGAUAACCCUCGGAAACGGGGGCUAAUACCGGAUACGACACAGCUUCGCAUGGGGUCUGUGUGGAAAGUUUUUCGGUUUGGGAUGGGCUCGCGGCCUAUCAGCUUGUUGGUGGGGUGAUGGCCUACCAAGGCGACGACGGGUAGCCGGCCUGAGAGGGCGACCGGCCACACUGGGACUGAGACACGGCCCAGACUCCUACGGGAGGCAGCAGUGGGGAAUAUUGCACAAUGGGCGGAAGCCUGAUGCAGCGACGCCGCGUGAGGGAUGACGGCCUUCGGGUUGUAAACCUCUUUCAGCAGGGACGAAGCGUAAGUGACGGUACCUGCAGAAGAAGCGCCGGCCAACUACGUG